AUAUCAUGAAUACCGGCAUUAGUGGGCUUGAGAAGGUGGAUGUUUUCCUCUUGGUUGGUACUCAGCCAAGGAUAGAAGCUGCCAUGGUAAAUGCCAGAAUUCGCAAGACAAUUCGUGCAACCAAUGCUACGGUUGGUUACAUUGGCCCUCCCACUGAUUUCAACUAUGAUUGCAAACAUAUUGGUACUGGCCCUCAAGCUCUUGUUGAAAUCGCUGAGGGCCGCCAUCCCUUUUUCUCAACAAUCUUAAAUGCCAAAAACCCCGCAAUCAUUGUUGGUGCUGGAAUCUUUGAGAGAAUGGACAAGGAUGCAAUUUUUUCUACUGUCGAGACCAUUGCGAAAAAGGGGAACGUUGUGAGACCUGACUGGAAUGGGUUGAAUGUAUUGCUUCUCAAUGCUGCGCAAGCUGCCGCUCUUGACCUUGGACUUGUACCAGAAUCCAGCA
rnacentral:misc_RNA from 1 species